rnacentral:rRNA from 1 species
UACGAAUGGGGCAAGCGUUGUUCGGAAUCACUGGGCUUAAAGCGUGCGCAGGCGGAUUUGCAAGUCAGAAGUGAAAUCCCGGGGCUUAACCCCGGAAUUGCUUUUGAAACUGCAAAUCUAGAAUCCCGGAGAGGUUAGGAGAAUUCCGAGUGUAGAGGUGAAAUUCGCAGAUAUUCGGAGGAAUACCAGUGGCGCAGGCGCCUAACUGGACGGGCAUUGACGCUCAGGCACGAAAGCGUGGGGAGCAAACAGG